GUGCCAGCCGCCGCGGUAAUACGGAGGGGGCCAGCGUUGUUCGGAAUUACUGGGCGUAAAGGGCGCGUAGGCGGCCGCGCAAGUCGGUUGUGAAAUCCCUCGGCUCAACCGAGGAACUGCGUCCGAAACUGCGCGGCUCGAGUCCCGGAGAGGGUAGCGGAAUUCCCAGUGUAGCGGUGAAAUGCGUAGAUAUUGGGAGGAACACCAGUGGCGAAGGCGGCUACCUGGACGGGUACUGACGCUGAGGCGCGAAAGCUAGGGGAGCAAACAGGAUUAGAAACCCCAGUAGUCC
rnacentral:rRNA from 1 species